rnacentral:ncRNA from 1 species
AUUUUUGAGAGUUUGAUCCUGGCUCAGGAUGAACGCUGGCGGCGUGCCUAACACAUGCAAGUCGAGCGGAGGCAAU